UACGUAGGGUGCGAGCGUUGUCCGGAAUUACUGGGCGUAAAGAGCUCGUAGGUGGUUUGUCGCGUUGUCCGUGAAAACUCACAACUCAAUUGUGGGCGUGCGGGCGAUACGGGCAGACUGGAGUACUGCAGGGGAGACUGGAAUUCCUGGUGUAGCGGUGGAAUGCGCAGAUAUCAGGAGGAACACCGGUGGCGAAGGCGGGUCUCUGGGCAGUAACUGACGCUGAGGAGCGAAAGCGUGGGGAGCAAACGGG
rnacentral:rRNA from 1 species